rnacentral:misc_RNA from 1 species
ACAGAAGCAAAGUUAUCAUCCAGGAUAAUGAUAUCCGAGUUUUCCUUAGCAACUUCUGUUCCUUGAAUGCCCAUUGAAAGGCCAAUAUCAGCCUCAUGCAAUGCAGGAGCAUCAUUUGUACCAUCUCCAGUUACAGCAACAACGUGUCCCCUCUUUCUCAAUGCUUGCACAAGCAGAAGCUUGUCAUUUGGAGCAGAUCUUCCCAUUACCAAUAUCUUCUCAGCAAUUUUUUCCUUUUCUUCAUCAGAGUACUCUCGAAAUACUUUUCCGUCAAUAAGAAUAGGCUCCACAGCCUCUUCUUUUGAACUUAGUAUCCCACAUUCCAAAGCAAUUGCUCUAGCAGUCUGAGGGUUAUCACCAGUGACCAUACGCACCUUGACACCAGCGUUUUGACAUAGUUGCACUGC